UACGUAGGUGGCGAGCGUUAUUCGGAUUUAUUGGGCGUAAAGGGUUCGUAGGGGGUUGGUUAAGUCGGAUGUGAAAGCCCGCAGCUCAACUGCGGAAAGCCAUUCGAUACUGGCUGACUAGAGGAUCGGAGAGGAGAGCGGAAUUCCUGGUGUAGCGGUGGAAUGCGUAGAUAUCAGGAGGAACGCCAACGGCGAAGGCA
rnacentral:rRNA from 1 species